rnacentral:rRNA from 1 species
UUCCGGUUGAUCCCGCCGGACCCCACUGCUAUCGGGAUAGGACUAAGACAUGCUAGUCAAGCGCUUUCUAGCUAAUGUGAGAGCGCGGCGUACAGCUCAGUAACACGUGGCCAACCUGCCCUUGGGACGGGAACACCCCCGGGAAACUGGGGUUAAUUCCCGAUAGGUGAAGAAGUCUGGAAUGAAUCUUCGCUCAAAAGACGUUUAUGUCAUGCUCAUAUUCGUCGCCCAGGGAUGGGGCCGCGACCGAUCAGGUAGUUGGUGAGGCAAUGGCUCACCAAGCCUUUUACCGGUGCGGGCCGUGAGAGCGGGAGCCCGGAGAUGGGCACUGAGACAAGGGCCCAGGCCCCACGGGGCGCAGCAGACGCGAAAACUUUGCAAUACACGAAAGUGUGACAGGGCUAUCCCGAGUGCCAUCCGCUGAGGAAGGCUUUUACCCAGUAUAAAUAGCUGGGAGAAUAAGGAGAGGGCAAGUCUGGUGUCAGCCGCCGCGGUAAUACCAGCUCUCCGAGUAGUGUGGACGUUUAUUGGGCCUAAAGCAUCCGUAGCUUGCUAGAUAAGUCCUCUGUUAAAUCCACCGAUUCAAUCGUUGGAUUGCGGGGGAUACUGUUUGGCUAGGGGACGGGAGAGGUCGACGGUAUUUCCGGGGUAGGGGUGAAAUCCUAUAAUCCCGGGAAGACCACCAGUGGCGAAGGCUGUCGACUAGAACGCGCCCGACGGUGAGGGAUGAAAGCUGGGGGAGCGAACCGGAUUAGAUACCCGGGUAGUCCCAGCUGUAAACGAUGCAGG